AAUUACAACUUAGUGAUGAUAUUGAAGAAGAUGAUCUUGAAUACUACUUGAGUGAUCGUCGUGAGAAACUUGAUCCUACCUUUGAUAUUCUACGAUGGUGGAAACAGAAUGGAUUCAAGUAUCCAAUAGUUGCGCGCAUGGCAAAAGAUGUAUUGGCUGUUCAGAUGUCUACAGUAGCAUCUGAAUCAGCUUUUUCUACUGGGGGAAGAAUCUUAGAUUCAUUUAGGAGUUCCUUAUCCCCGAGGAUGGUGGAGGCUUUGAUUUGUUCUAAAAAUUGGUAUACUUGUGAGUCUGAAGAGCCUGUUGUGCUUCGACAAUACAUGGAUGAGAUUGAUGGUUUAGAGGCAUGUGAAUAAGUUUUUCCAGGUAUUUAUUUACUUAAUAGCUUAUUCUAAUUGAAAUAUUAUAUAUAUAUUAUAGCUUAUUUGUAUUAAUUGAAUAUUUGUCAUGUGAUGGCUCGUGUAUUACCUAUGUACCUGAGAAUCUUGGCAGUGGGUCUGGGAGUGGGACCGAUAAGAACAAUUGAAAUCUCAAGGAGCAGGUGGUCAUGGUUGCUUGAUGCAGGCCAUGAAAUGAAUGAAUGCUGGAUUUUGGAUUGGACUUUGUUUUCUAUCUAUUCUUUUGAAAUUUGAACUUGAUUUGUGUUGUUGUAGUCGAUUAGACUUAGAUUUAAUUUGUGUUGUAAUGGACUAUGGACUAUGGACUUUAAGUUUAAACUUUAAUCAUGUGUUGAGAUUUGUGGUUGUAGUCUUUUGGUUUUAAAUUUUAAUUGGGUUGUGUCUUGGAUUGAACUAAUAGAUAUUGGAGUAUUAGACUUUUGAUGA